CUGAGUACGGCGGAACACGUGAAAUUCCGUCGGAAUCCGGGAGGACCAUCUCCCAAGGCUAAAUACUCCCUAGUGACCGAUAGUGAACCAGUACCGUGAGGGAAAGGUGAAAAGCACCCCGGAAGGGGAGUGAAACAGUUCCUGAAACCGUGUGCCUACAAGUAGUUAGAGCCCGUUAAUGGGUGAUAGCGUGCCUUUUGUAGAAUGAACCGGCGAGUUACGAUUUGUUGCAAGGUUAAGCGGAAAAAGCGGAGCCGUAGCGAAAGCGAGUCUGAAUAGGGCGCAUAAGUAACAGGUCGUAGACCCGAAACCAGGUGAUCUACCCAUGUCCAGGAUGAAGGUAAGGUAAUACUUACUGGAGGUCCGAACCCACGCACGUUGAAAAGUGCGGGGAUGAGGUGUGGGUAGCGGAGAAAUUCCAAUCGAACUUGGAGAUAGCUGGUUCUCUCCGAAAUAGCUUUAGGGCUAGCCUCGAGGUAAAGAGUCAUGGAGGUAGAGCACUGUUUGGACUAGGGGCCCUUCUCGGGUUACCGAAUUCAGAUAAACUCCGAAUGCCAUGUACUUAUACUCGGGAGUCAGACUGCGAGUGAUAAGAUCCGUAGUCGAAAGGGAAACAGCCCAGACCACCAGUUAAGGUCCCCAAAUAU
rnacentral:rRNA from 1 species